GCGUCAAUUAUUUGCUCGGUCUUGAAAAGAACAACAGCUACAAUCUUGCAUUGGAGAGGAAUGUUUUGCCCAAAGGUUAGAACUACAAGAAAAGUGGGAAGCAAGCUCACGUGCUCAUGUGCUCCAGCAAGCCACCGAACAUGACGUAUAUUUGCUAUUGGUGGACAGAGCCAGACACACACACACGUGAACAGGUGGGAGAGUCAACAGCAGCGAGUCUGGCAACUCUCCUGACACAACAUGCUCCUCCAGAAUGGAUGCAGUGAAGUCUGGAAAUAUGAAGGAUUUAUGUAAGUAACACUGUUCAGAUACUGUACUUCAUGG